CCUACGGGUGGCAGCAGUGGGGAAUAUUGCACAAUGGGGGAAACCCUGAUGCAGCAACGCCGCGUGAGCGAAGAAGGUCUUCGGAUCGUAAAGCUCUGUUGUUAGGGAAGAACAAGUACGGGAGGAAAUGACCGUACCUUGACGGUACCUGAAUAAGAAGCCCCGGCUAACUACGUGCCAGCAGCCGCGGUAAUACGUAGGGGGCAAGCGUUAUCCGGAAUCACUGGGUGUAAAGGGUGCGUAGGCGGUAGGGCAAGUCAGAUGUGAAAGCCCGGAGCUCAACUUCGGGACUGCAUUUGAAACUGUCUUACUAGAGUGCAGGAGAGGAAAGCGGAAUUCCUAGUGUUGCGGUGAAAUGCGUAGAUAUUAGGAAGAACACCAGUGGCGAAGGCGGCUUUCUGGACUGUAACUGACGCUGAGGCACGAAAGCGUGGGGAGCGAACAGGAUUAGAUACCCGAGUAGUC
rnacentral:rRNA from 1 species